GGGGCAUCGAGUUAACUCCCAACCCCUGUGACAUACCUUAAUGUUGCCUCGGCGGAUCAGCCCGCGCCCCGUAAAACGGGACGGCCCGCCAGAGGACCCAAACUCUAAUGUUUCUUAUUGUAACUUCUGAGUAAAACAAACAAAUAAAUCAAAACUUUCAACAACGGAUCUCUUGGUUCUGGCAUCGAUGAAGAACGCAGCAAAAUGCGAUAAGUAAUGUGAAUUGCAGAAUUCAGUGAAUCAUCGAAUCUUUGAACGCACAUUGCGCCCGCUGGUAUUCCGGCGGGCAUGCCUGUUCGAGCGUCAUUUCAACCCUCAAGCCCCCGGGUUUGGUGUUGGGGAUCGGCUCUGCCCUUCUGGGCGGUGCCGCCCCCGAAAUACAUUGGCGGUCUCGCUGCAGCCUCCAUUGCGUAGUAGCUAACACCUCGCAACUGGAACGCGGCGCGGCCAUGCCGUAAAACCCCAACUUCUGAAUGUUGACCUCGGAUCAGGUAGGAAUACCCGCUGAACUUAAGCAUAUCAAAAGUC
rnacentral:rRNA from 1 species